AGCUAAUGAACUUGUAUAAGUGUAUAUUUUGAAAGUAUAAAAAAGAAUAAUAAUAAUUUCUAUUAGCUU
rnacentral:tRNA from 1 species